rnacentral:misc_RNA from 1 species
GAUGAAGAACGUAGCGAAAUGCGAUACGUAGUGUGAAUUGCAGAAUUCAGUGAAUCAUCGAAUCUUUGAACGCACAUUGCGCCCUUUGGUAUUCCAAAGGGCAUGCCUGUUCGAGCGUCAUUUGUACCUUCAAGCUUUGCUUGGUGUUGGGCGUCUUUUUGUCUCUCCUUUGCGGGAGACUCGCCUUAAAACGAUUGGCAGCCGGCCUACUGGUUUCGGAGCGCAGCACAUUUUUUGCGCUUUGCAUCAGGAGAAAAGGACGGUACUCCAUCAAGACGUUUACAUUUUUCACUUUUGACCUCGGAUCAGGUAGGGAUACCCGCUGAACUUAAGCAUAUCAUAAGCGGAGGA